rnacentral:rRNA from 1 species
GACGAACGCUGGCGGCGUGCUUAACACAUGCAAGUCGAACGGAAAGGCCCUGCUUUUGUGGGGUGCUCGAGUGGCGAACGGGUGAGUAACACGUGAGUAACCUGCCCUUGACUUUGGGAUAACUUCAGGAAACUGGGGCUAAUACCGGAUAGGAGCUCCUGCUGCAUGGUGGGGGUUGGAAAGUUUCGGCGGUUGGGGAUGGACUCGCGGCUUAUCAGCUUGUUGGUGGGGUAGUGGCUUACCAAGGCUUUGACGGGUAGCCGGCCUGAGAGGGUGACCGGCCACAUUGGGACUGAGAUACGGCCCAGACUCCUACGGGAGGCAGCAGUGGGGAAUAUUGCACAAUGGGCGGAAGCCUGAUGCAGCAACGCCGCGUGCGGGAUGACGGCCUUCGGGUUGUAAACCGCUUUCGCCUGUGACGAAGCGUGAGUGACGGUAAUGGGUAAAGAAGCACCGGCUAACUACGUGCCAGCAGCCGCGGUGAUACGUAGGGUGCGAGCGUUGUCCGGAUUUAUUGGGCGUAAAGGGCUCGUAGGUGGUUGAUCGCGUCGGAAGUGUAAUCUUGGGGCUUAACCCUGAGCGUGCUUUCGAUACGGGUUGACUUGAGGAAGGUAGGGGAGAAUGGAAUUCCUGGUGGAGCGGUGGAAUGCGCAGAUAUCAGGAGGAACACCAGUGGCGAAGGCGGUUCUCUGGGCCUUUCCUGACGCUGAGGAGCGAAAGCGUGGGGAGCGAACAGGCUUAGAUACCCUGGUAGUCCACGCUGUAAACGGUGGGUACUAGGUGUGGGGUCCAUUUCACGGGUUCCGUGCCGUAGCUAACGCUUUAAGUACCCCGCCUGGGGAGUACGGCCGCAAGGCUAAAACUCAAAGGAAUUGACGGGGCCCCGCACAAGCGGCGGAGCAUGCGGAUUAAUUCGAUGCAACGCGUAGAACCUUACCUGGGUUUGACAUGGAUCGGGAGCGCUCAGAGAUGGGUGUGCCUCUUUUGGGGUCGGUUCACAGGUGGUGCAUGGCUGUCGUCAGCUCGUGUCGUGAGAUGUUGGGUUAAGUCCCGCAACGAGCGCAACCCUUGUUCACUGUUGCCAGCACGUUAUGGUGGGGACUCAGUGGAGACCGCCGGGGUCAACUCGGAGGAAGGUGGGGAUGACGUCAAGUCAUCAUGCCCCUUAUGUCCAGGGCUUCACGCAUGCUACAAUGGCUGGUACAGAGAGUGGCGAGCCUGUGAGGGUGAGCGAAUCUCGGAAAGCCGGUCUCAGUUCGGAUUGGGGUCUGCAACUCGACCUCAUGAAGUCGGAGUCGCUAGUAAUCGCAGAUCAGCAACGCUGCGGUGAAUACGUUCCCGGG